ACCUCAUGGUCUCCAGCAUCCAAGGAGAGUGUGGGCAGCUGGAGCCAGUUAGCACUGCCUCUAAGGUCUCCUGCAACGCACCCACCCACCCCUCUUACUCCAUGGUAUUCAACUUCUAAACUAAGAGGAAAGCCCAAGCUAGAGGUCCUAUGCAUCAAUCAGGGAAGAGAUAUUGAGAAGAAUAAACAGAGAAACUGCCUUUCCCUAACCCUCCUGGUUCUCGGUCCCUCAGCCUUGAACUGGGAGGUAAACUAUCAACUCCCCUGGCUCUCAGGCCUUCAGACUUGGAGUACAUUACACCAUUGGCUUUCCUCGUUCACCAGCUUGUAGAUGGCAUAUCAUGGGAUUUCUCAGCCUCCAUAAUCUUGUACUAUCUGAAAGUGGACAGCUUCAGCAUUACAGCCCCUUUCUGGGACAUCCCUGAAAGACGAUGGAGAAGAAAAAUGCCCCCCACCCCUGUGGGCAGAACUUCUGGCAGUGCAUCUGGUUGUGUACUUCGCUUGGAAGGAGAAACGGCCAGAUGUGUGAUUAUAUACUGAUUAUAUACUGAUUCGUGGGCUGUAACCACUGGUCGGGCUGGAUGAAACUUGGAAGGAACAUAAUUGGAAAAUUGGUGAUAACAAAAUUGGAGGAAGAGGUAUGUGAAUAGACUUCUCUGAAUGGGCAAAGAAAAUGUAAAGAUAUUUGUGUCUCGUGUGAAUGCUCACUAAAGGGUAACCCCAGCAGGAUAGGAUUUUAACAAUCAAGAUAGGAUGACUCAUUCUGUGGAUACCAGCCAGCUUCUUUCCUCAGCCACUCCUGUCAUCACCCAAUGGGCUCAUGAAGAAAGUGGCCAUGUUGGUUGCGAUGGAAGCUAUGCAUGGGCUCAGCCACACAGACUUCCACUGACCAAGGUGGAUCUGGUUACAGCCACCAUUGAGUGCUCAAUCUGCCAGCAGCUGAGACUCUGAUAUGGUACAAUUUCCCAGCAUGAUCAGCCAGAUACCUGGUGGCAGGCUGAUUACAUUGAACUGCUUAUAUACUGUGGAAAGGACAGCAUUGUGUCCUUAUUAAAAUAAACAGUCUGGAUACAGAUUUUUCCUUCCCUGCAUGCAAUGCUUCUGUGAACACUACCAUCCCUGGACUUACAGAAUAACUUAUCAUCAUGGUAUUCUUCAUAUCAUUGCUUUUGACCAAAGAACUCACUUCAAAGCCAAAGAAGGGCAGCAAUAGCACUUGUGCUCAUAGGAUUCACUGAUCUUGCUGGAGUAGCUGGCUUUGUAGAACAGUGGAAUGGCCUUUUGAAGACUCCAUGCCAGCUAGGUGGCAAUACCUUGUAGGGCUGGGGGAAGGUUCUCCAAAAGUCUGGGUAUGCUCUGAAUCAGUCUCCAAUAUAUGGUGCUGUUUCUCCAAUAGCUAAGAUACAUGAGUCCGGGAAUCAAAGGAUGGAAAAGGAAAUGACACCGCUUACUAUUACCCCUAAUGGUCCACUAGCAAAACGUUUGCUUCCUGUUCCCAUGACUUUAUCCUCUGCUGGCCUAGAGGUCUUAGUUCUAGAGAGAGGAAUGCUUCUACCAGGAGACACAACAAUUCUAUUGAACUAAAACUUAAGACUGCCACGCAGCAACUUUGGGCUUCUCAUGCCUCUGAGUCAACAGGCCAAGAAGGGAGUUACAGUGCUGCCUGGGGUGAUUACUCUGGGAUACCAAGGAAAAAUUGACUACCACUGCACAAUGGAGGUAAAGAAGAGUAUGUCUGGAAUACAGAAUAGCUGAGAUCAACCUUGAUUGCCUUUUAAGUCGAGUAAAUUGGAGGACAGGCUGCCCAGUAUCUUAGUUCUUCUAAGACUGCUUGCAACCCAGAAAGUGUGAACAGUGUGAUGACGAAUGCUCUUAAGACCAGGAGUUCAAGCUUAACUCCCAACCCCUUGAGUGUGGGCUAGACUUAGUGACCUGCUUCUAAGGAAUAGAGUAUGGAAAGAGGAAAAUAGCAACAUUACAGGAGAGAAACCUGAAAGCAACUUAACCAAGUGAUCACAGAAUCACUGGUAAUAACUCUUGUUGAUAUCAUGUGCCCCCAAUACAGUAUGAUGAAAAGACCCAUCAUCUCCGUGAUAUUUAUCCUCAAAAUCUAUACUCUUACAACAAUUAUGAGAAAAUAUAGACAAACCCAAUUUGAAAGGAAGCAAGUCUACAAGAUACUUAACCAGUACUUUACAAAAGUGACAAGGUCACAAAAGACAGCACAAGACUGAGAAACUCACAGAUUGGAGGAAGCCAAAGAGACAUCAUGGCUGAGAUCAUGAUGGUGGAACCCUGGUUUGGAUCCUGGAACAGAAAAAAAGAACACUAAGUGGAAAAACUGAUGAAAUAUAAAUAAUAUAAUAAAAAUCUAUAAUUUAA